rnacentral:rRNA from 1 species
AAWUGGAAUGAUGGGAAUUUAAACCUCUUCCAGAGUAUCAAUUGGAGGGCAAGUCUGGUGCCAGCAGCCGCGGUAAUUCCAGCUCCAAUAGCGUAUAUUAAAAUUGUUGCAGUUAAAAAGCUCGUAGUUGAAUUUCUGCUGCAUCGUCGCAUCUCUUGCUGAGUGCUUCGUUUCGGCUUAUUUCGGAUUGAUUUUUUCUUUCCGGAUGAUUACUUUGAGAAAAUUAGAGUGCUCAAAGCAGGCUUUUGCCUUGAAUAGUUUAGCAUGGAAUAAUAAAGUAGGACUUUGGUUCUAUUUUGUUGGUUUUAGGUACCAAAGUAAUGGUUAAUAGGAACAGUUGGGGGCAUUCGUAUUUAACUGUCAGAGGUGAAAUUCUUAGAUUUGUUAAAGACGAACUACUGCGAAAGCAUUUGCCAAGGAUGUUUUCAUUAAUCAAGAACGAAAGUUAGGGGAUCGAAGACGAUCAGAUACCGUCGUAGUCCUACCA